rnacentral:snRNA from 1 species
AUAAUAUCUUAAAAUUUAUAUUUGAUUUUAUUUUACUUGUAAAAGUAUAUUAUUUUUAUUUUGAUAUAACUUAAAAAAUAUUUUAUAAAAACAAUAAUGAAAAAUAUAUUUUUCUAAGAUAUAUAUGAUUUAUCAUACCGAUAAGAACAGAUACUACACUUGAUCUUAGCCAAAAGUUUUUAAAGUUUA